rnacentral:rRNA from 1 species
GACGAACGCUGGCGGCGUGCUUAACACAUGCAAGUCGAACGGUGAAGCAGAGCUUGCUCUGUUGUUCAGUGGCGAACGGGUGAGUAACACGUGAGUAGCCUGCCCUUGACUCUGGGAUAAGCGUUUGAAACGACGCCUAACACUUGACACGACGUCCGUAGGCACCUUUUGUUUGUGAGAAGAAUACGGGUAUAGGCUGGACUCGCGGCCUAUCAGCGUGUUGGUGAAGUAAUGGCUCGCCAAGGCCACGACGGGUAGCCGGCCCGGGAGGGUGAUCGGCCACACUGGGACUGAGACACGGAGCAGACGCCUACGGUACGCAGCAGUGGGGAAUAUUGCGCAGUGGGGGCAAGCCUGAUGCAGCAGCGCCGCGUGCGGGAUAAUGUCCUUCGGGUUGUAAACCACUUUUAGUAGGGAAGAAGAGGAAGUGACGGUACCUGAACAAAAAGCACCGGCUAACUACGUG